GACGUAGGGCGCGAGCGUUGUCCGGAUUUAUUGGGCGUAAAGAGCGUGUAGGCGGCCAGACAGGUCCGUUGUGAAAACUCGAGGCUCAACCUCGAGACGCCGAUGGAAACCGUCUGGCUAGAGUCCGGAAGAGGAGAGUGGAAUUCCUGGUGUAGCGGUGAAAUGCGCAGAUAUCAGGAGGAACACCGGUGGCGAAGGCGGGUCUCUGGGCCGACAUUGACGCUGAGGAGCGAAAGCGUGGGGAGCGAACAGG
rnacentral:rRNA from 1 species